rnacentral:lncRNA from 1 species
AUAGAUUGUUUAAUAAAUUAACAGUAUUGUCUCUGAGGUAGACAAAUGUGAACGAACUUUCCCCCUACAUGCUAGUCAAUUCUUAAUCAUGGUAACUUUUGUUUCUUUUAUAUUUAAUUCUAAACUGUGUUUACAUCUUAAAAUUAAUUUAUCUUAAAUUUUUACUUUUUAUAUCAUGGUAAAGUCCUUUUAGUCCCACAAAUGUUUUUUAUCUUUUUUUUUUUUUGAAAGUUUUUACUUAUGAUCUAUACAUCAAAAGGUUACACACUCUAAUGGCUUUCAAAAGUCAACACAAAACUCUUUUGACUUAGAAAUUAAGCCAAAUCGCUUCUCGGCCUCAAGAAAUUAAGCCAAGAUACCCGUAAAAAUCUUUUAAAGUCAUCAGUAUGGUUUGUUUCCUAUGAGAUUUAAUUCAUCCUUUUUCCUGUAUAGCUAAAAAUUAGAGGUUAUAUUUUUUCCUUAAACUUGAAAAAACUGCUCCAAGAAUUUCUCUUAUAAUAAUGGUGUCUGUUUUUUGGCUUUGGAUAAUGUAAUUAUGUUUAUAUAGGUGUUUGUAUUUUUGAAUAUUUAUAGUUUUGGCAAAUUUCAUAUUUUAUAAGUUUUUCUUUUUUUUCAUUUUAAAGGAUUUUUUUCAUUAUUAAAGUACAUUGAUUACUUG